rnacentral:rRNA from 1 species
CGAGUGGCGGACGGGUGAGUAAUGUCUGGGAAACUGCCUGAUGGAGGGGGAUAACUACUGGAAACGGUAGCUAAUACCGCAUAACGUCGCAAGACCAAAGAGGGGGACCUUCGGGCCUCUUGCCGUCGGAUGUGCCCAGAUGGGAUUAGCUAGUAGGUGGGGUAACGGCUCACCUAGGCGACGAUCCCUAGCUGGUCUGAGAGGAUGACCAGCCACACUGGAACUGAGACACGGUCCAGACUCCUACGGGAGGCAGCAUG